rnacentral:rRNA from 1 species
GAGAACUUUCCUACGAGAUGGAUUGGUGCCUUCGGGAACUCUGACACAGGUGCUGCAUGGCUGUCGUCAGCUCGUGUCGUGAGAUGUUGGGUUAAGUCCGUAACGAGCGCAACCCUUGUCCUUAGUUACCAGCACGUUAUGGUGGGCACUCUAAGGAGACUGCCGGUGACAAACCGGAGGAAGGUGGGGGAUGACGUCAAGUCAUCAUGGCCCUUACGGCCUGGGCUACACACGUGCUACAAUGGUCGGUACAAAGGGUUGCCAAGCCGCGAGGUGGAGCUAAUCCCAUAAAACCGAUCGUAGUCCGGAUCGCAGUCUGCAACUCGACUGCGUGAAGUCGGAAUCGCUAGUAAUCGUGAAUCAGAAUGUCACGGUGAAUACGUUCCCGGGCCUU